rnacentral:rRNA from 1 species
UACGUAGGGGGCAAGCGUUGUCCGGAAUCAUUGGGCGUAAAGAGCGUGUAGGCGGUCCGGUCAGUCGGUUGUGAAAGUCAAGGGCUCAACCCUUGAAUGCCGGCCGAUACUGCCGGGCUAGAGUCCGGAAGAGGUGAGUGGAAUUCCUGGUGUAGCGGUGAAAUGCGCAGAUAUCAGGAGGAACACCGAUGGCGAAGGCAGCUCACUGGGACGGUACUGACGCUGAGACGCGAAAGCGUGGGGAUCAAACAGG